rnacentral:pre_miRNA from 14 species
GCCCGUAUGGAAAAAUCGAUUUUUCCAUGUGGGCUCUUAAGUGAGGCGCUCAUUUUUGCAUGCAGCCCUCUUAAAGAGGCCCGUAUGGGAAAAUCGAUUUUUCCAUACGGGC